rnacentral:sRNA from 1 species
AUCCAGUUUACAGAAUUGGAUUUGGAUUAAACUUGGUUGAGUUAUUCGCAGUUUCGUGAGACACGUUUUCUCAGACGCGAAUUAGGACCAGCAGGGUUUGAAACUGAGAUCGUGGUAUCGUCUGUUUUCCGAUCGGG